rnacentral:rRNA from 1 species
UACGGGGGGAGCAAGCGUUGUUCGGAUUUACUGGGCGUAAAGGGCGCGUAGGCGGUCAGCACAAGUCAGUUGUGAAAUCUCCGGGCUUAACCCGGAAAGGUCAACUGAUACUGUGCGACUAGAGUGCGGAAGGGGCAACUGGAAUUCUUGGUGUAGCGGUGAAAUGCGUAGAUAUCAGGAGGAACACCGGUGGCGAAGGCGGUUCUCUGGGCCUUACCUGACGCUGAGGAGCGAAGGCCAGGGGAGCAAACGGG